rnacentral:rRNA from 1 species
UCCGUAGGCGGUGCGGCAAGUCGAUAGUGAAAUCCCUGGGCUUAACUCAGGGGCUGCUAACGAAACUGCCGUGCUAGAGUGUGAGAGAGGCGAGUGGAAUUACGGGUGUAGCGGUGAAAUGCGUAGAUAUCCGUAGGAACAUCCGAGGCGAAAGCGGCUCGCUGGAUCACAACUGACGCUGAGGGACGAAAGCUAGGGGAGCAAACAGGAUUAGAUACCCUGGUAGUCCCUAGCCCUAAACCAUCAGGACUUGGGGUUUGCCCUGUACGGGGCAAGUCCCGUAGCUAACGCGUUAAGUCCUGCGCCUGGGGAGUACGGUCGCAAGGCUGAA